GUAAGAUCUACCCAGAGUGGGGGGCGCCUCAUCCAGUGCUUUCUGGGUGGCCCCUCUGGGAGAACCUCCACCACUCUCACCGACGACCCUAAAAUAUAUACUAGUAAGCAAACGGGACAAAUUAUACUGGUGAACCCCUUAAUAAUCUGUGCACGGAGUCCGGACGAAGACGCAGGACGCGUACAGCCAGGAGAUUGGGUGCUCGUGAAAAGCUGGAAAGAAAACCCCUUGACUCCAAGGUGGGAAGGACCGUUCCAAGUACUCCUCACCACAGAAGCAGCCAUACGAACCGCUGAAAAAGGAUGGACUCAUGCUAGUCGCAUAAAAGGACCGGUAAAACCCCCUCACAGCUGGGAGGUUUGCAGUCUCCCGGGAGAAACCAAAUUAAAGCUGAAACGAACUGAUAAAUGAUUUGGAUAAUAAUCUGGGUUGGAGAUAACCAUUAUCUCCAAACCCACCUAAUAGGGAAUCGGGAGGCUCUUGGAUAUUGCAAACUCUUAGAGGACGAGUUGAGAAAGCCCUACUUUAAGUCCCCGAGAUUAGAACAUAAAGGGCACCCAUGGGAGGGGGAAAAAGCACAAAACAAAGAUAUUAGGUUAAAGUGUAACUGGUUAGAUUGUGACUGUCACCCCCUUGUAUGCUUUUCCUGUAAAUUGUGUCACGAACCUUGGUGGUCUCAUUGUCGGAGUGGUAGAACACCUAGGGGAAUUUGCACGCCGUGCUAUGAGAAAGAGAGGAGACUAACUUCUAUCAUUCUUAGUAGCAGAGUUGCUACGGGGGAGGUAAAGCUUGGAUCUGACGAGUGGUGGGAAACCUUUUCCAAAGGGGUAAAUCCUGAUCGGUUCUGCUACCACCCUAACGAACCGAUCCCCUUUCUCCUGGACAUCCUGGAAGUGGUGUGUCGGAAGAAAGCCCCCAAUUUGCGGCGUGACCUCUCAUUAAUAAAAGCUGAUAACAGGGCCGCCAGUGCUAAAAAGUGGAAACGGGAGGUUUAUCCGGCUCCUGAAGAAUACCUCUGCUGCCGAGAAGAUGGCAAACCCCGAGGCUUGCAGCAACCGAGUCGUCGGGCGAGGCAGAGAGGUAAUAACCAGUGGAGUCCGUCGGAAGCCCCGACCCCCAUAUGAGAUGUCCAGGAAAUGUUGGCCGUCCUGCCCCAGGAUUGGUAACCCACCACUGGGGAAACCAAAGAGAAGUCACCAAAUAAGGACAUAGGGUGAAGAAGACGCGGCUGAGGAAGACUCUGCAGCCUUUAUCACCGACCACCAGGAGACAGAAGGAUGACCCCCUAGCAACAACCAGCGCAGGCGCAGAGAACUCCGAGAUAACAUGGACUCCUGAAGGAUGGAGAGGAUAAAAGGACUGAAUCAGAAACUAGUUGGGGCGGCAGUAGUGGAGCAGAGACUCCCCUGUCGCCCAGCGCUGAGCCUUUGCUUACGUAGUAUAACUGCUUCAAUAAUUAAUAAAUUCUUUGAUUGGAAA